CACACACUGCCACCCAGCUGUAGGCACACACACACUACCACCCAGCUGUAGGUACACACACACUACCACCCAGCUGUAGGUACACACACACUGCCACCCAGCUGUAGGCACACACACACUACCACCCAGCUGUAGGCACACACACACUACCACCCAGCUGUAGGCACACACACACUACCACCCAGCUGUAGGUACACACACACUACCACCCAGCUGUAGGGACACACACACUACCACCCAGGCGAAGGUGCACACACACACACACACACACACACACACACACACACUACCACCCAGCUGUAGGUACACACACACACUACCACCCAGCUGUAGGCACACACACACCCAGGCGUAGACAGACAC
ensembl:lncRNA